CAGCAGGCCCUUAGACCAGCCAGGUCCCUUCCUUAUAGGAGCCCGGAGCGCAACAGCUGCAAACAGCAGCCUGCUCAGCAGUAUAUCCAUUCCGCUGCUUGUGCAGGUUGUCUCACGUGACCUUGGAGACAGCC
ensembl:snoRNA SNORA70 Small nucleolar RNA SNORA70